UAACGCCUUAAAAAUCGUGCA
rnacentral:piRNA from 1 species